ensembl:lncRNA
AUUCUGGAUUUUUUGUAGAGGAAUGAUAGGAUUAGGUUUUUUCCCUCUUGAAAUUGCGACCUGUCUUUCCAGUUCUUCCACACGGUCAUGCAAUAGUUGAUUUUCAUCAGUGAGAGCUGCUUCAGUUAUAUUUAGUUGGUUCAAGGCCAUCAGCAGUGGCCAUGCCCCCGUGGAGACAACUAAUUGUUGUUCUCGAGUUGUUUCAAAAUCAGUCAUCACCAGCACACUCCCCAGCCUGGUGCACUUGACAGACUACUACCUACUACUGCUCUUCCAGACAGAUGACAGAAGCUGCAUCCUGUAGUCUGAGGGGAAUGAAGACUGCAAGGCCUUGGGACGAUUGGUGAAAGACUCUGGGGUGCAAGCUAUUUUCUCUUCCCUCCUUCCAUUUUCAGAUUCUGAGUAAGGUCCACUUGUACCAAACAAAAUCUCAAGGACUGGAAGAUAUUCAGACUCUGCAAGCAAGGUGACAUUGGCUGAUUAAUUUAUUUGAUUUGUACCACAGUGGAAAAGUAGUGUAUCUCUUUCAUCUUGAUGAAAUAGGUGAAGAAAAUGCAUGUUUUAAGUGACUGUUUGGUACUCUCCUGUAAAAUGUGCACUGAGAUAAUUAAGAUACACAUGAAUAGAAUGCAAAUAUCAUACUAACUGUGGUGUCAGACAACCUAUCACCUAAGUCCUUAUCAGCACCUGAGGAAUGGAAAGCAGCAAAGACAAUCCACCCUUUGAGAAGGAAUCCAAGUUACUUUUCCUUCAUGAACCCACGCUGCCUGUGAGCAGUGAUGACAUUGUUUUUCAGCGUAAUUUUCUCCAUCAUUUUUGCAGGUGGGAUUGACAGGUCCAUAAUUACCAGGGUCUUCUCCAUUGCUCUUCUUGAAAAUAGAAGCAAUGUUUUCCAACUUUCACUCAAGUGGGACCUCUUCAGAUUUCUAAGACCACUGAAAAAUAAUGUUGGAUUCAAAUUUGUCUUACCAAGAAAUUUGUGUCAUUUCUAAUAGUUUCCUGUAAACCUUUUUCAGGUUCAGAAAGACAAGUAAUGUUAAAUCUAGGAAAAAAAAAAAAAAAAAAAAAAAAAAAGCAAUCAAAACUGAGAACAUAUCAGAAAACAUAGUACAUCACUGGUGUUCCCAUCUUGAAUACUGAAUGAAGUUCUGAUAAAAUCAACUUAAAGAGAAGUACAGAACUAGAAAACAUGUAGAAAAAGAAUGAGGAAGAUGAUCAGAAGUAAGGAACAGACUCCACCUGAAAGAAUAAACAGCCUAUCACUUUAGGUUUGUAAAUCUUGGAAGAGAUUCACUAGUUUGCAUGAUACAAAAAGUACUGUGUGCGCUUUUCAGUAUGCUUCCUUCUGCUCUUAACUCUUAAGUUAUUAUUACUAAGAGAUGGAAAGCACCACUGAAUAUUUCCACUGUUGCUCUCAACUAUAUCUACUGCACACUGAUGUUCACUGUAGAGUAGUUGUGUAAACUCUUCAAAAGAUUAUUCAUACUAAUAUUGCAAAAACAAGCACUUGCAAGUUAUGAUUGAGGAUGCCUUUACAAUAAAGUUUCUGCCCUCUUGUACAUGCAUACUCUAUACCUCUUUUUCCAAACACCUCCUAUCUCAUCAUUGCUUAGGGUGGCUGACACUCCCCAGGUGAGCUACUUAGUCAAUGUUAUGUUCUAUCACCAUAAUUCAGUGACGACACAGUGUAGUUCUUUUGCACUAUGCCAUCGAGCUCAAGCUGUGAACGCAGAAUUAUUCUUUUCCCAUGGGCAUUGUGACUUGAUUUUCCCCCAAGUUCUCUCUUUGACUUUUCAAUUAAGUCUGAAAAUUCUGUAAGGGAAUACAGUAGAUGAAGGGAGUUUUUACUUCGUUUUCCAGCUUUCACAAGAAAAAAGUCAUAUUACCACUUUCAUCUGUUCUAUUUUGAAUUGCUAUGACUUUUCCUGGAAGCGGAAUCUGAUUACUCCUAUAAUUCAGAACUUUUUUCCUAAGUUAUUAAUGGCUAGUUUGUAUGCACUCUUCCUUAGCAAAAAUGUGUGCUUUUUAUUAACUAUCUCCCUGUCUCACAGUGUUUCACUUCACCCAUCAUGUCUCCCCCCUCUAACAUUCUGGAUAUGCACGGGUUGUAGUUUUCUCCUUCCUCCUCCCAGCCCUCAUUUUAUAAAGCUUAUCAAGCCAGGCUUGCCUCGUGUCUUCCCUUUAGACAAGUACUUUUUUCCUCUGACCAUCCUAGUAAUAAGCCAAUGAAGCAUGCUGAGUUAACUUUCCGGAAGACGGGUGGCCAGAGCUGUAUGCAGUAUGGUAGGUGAUGUCAUAAAAAAGUAGUUAAAAUGUGUCAUUAAUGCUGCUCUAUUUCUUCAAGUGGUGAUUGACUUUUUUAUUGAUACACGACUUGAUCAUCUUAACUAAUAAUUUUCUAUGUGGGAGCCAUGACUAUCUUGGAUUCCUUUUUCUUCUUACGAGUAAAAGUAGAAAUUACUUUUAUUCUAAGUAAAAGUAGUUGAGAGUAUCCCAAAAUAUUUCAUAAUGUCAUUAAUAUAAAAGCUGAAUAACUUAUACCACUUCUCUUUGAAAGUCAAACAACUUUUAUGUAAAAAUAGACAAAAAAGAACAUAUAUUUUUUACUAUAUCUUCUCAAUUUUCAUAACCACAGUGAGUUCAUUGACUUAUAUCAUGGGUGUCCAACAUUUUGUCUUGCCUGGGCUGCACUGAAUAAAGAGGAAUUUUCUUGGGCCAAAUACAUAUAAGUUGUUCCAAAAGUAAUGUCUCCCAUUUAUUUCCAUGGAAAUGACAACAGAUACAAAGAGCAAGAUAAUACUGUUUGAUAGAGCAAGCUCUGCUGCAGAACACUCUUUUUCAGUGCAGUCAACACCAUCAGCCAUUCAUUUUUGCCACCAGUGAACAAGAGCCUGCAUGGUGCAUCCAUAAAAAUCUGCGCCAGAGGAGUGACCCACUGUUGCCACUGCUGAAAUGCACCAUCUACCUCCUCACUGUGCUCACACCCACUGUUUAGUCCUCAUAAACAUUCAACAAGUAUCAGUGAAUGCCAGUGGGUGCAAUUUUUUCCACAUGGAGAAAUUCAGUGGCAUAUCUUUGCUCCAUAUGCACUUCCAUGUCAGACAUCACUUUUUCCGACUGCCCCUCUGCUGCCAUCUAUCACACAACAUCAAAAUGCAAUGGGAUAUUGGUGGUAAGGUUCACCUUCUGCUGCCACGACACCAACAUCUGCCUCUGAUGUCACGGGCCAACGUAUUGGAGGCAUUGGAGGCAUUACUUUCAGAGGAGCCCCAGUAAGAUAUGUCAUAUAAUUAAUAUGCAAGCAACAAAAACAUUAAACUAGUGGGAUAUUUGACCUUGAUUUUGUGAAACUAACGCAUCAGUCUUGUUCAAUGGAAGUGGCUACAAUUCUUAGUGAGGUCUCAGGGUGUUCAUCAGAGAUUUCUGAUGAAGAAUUACCCUUCCUGUGCUUCAUCCUUGACAAUUGCUCACAAAUGUACAUACUGCCAAAUAAGUGAUGAUAUGACUAAGGUAUAGUUGUGAAGCAAAGGAUAUUUUUCUCUGGCAAGAGGGGUCUUACAAAAGUUUGGGAAAGAGACAUGAUCAGAUAAUACAGAUCUAUACAUCCCAUCUGAAAAUUUGCAGAUAAUGUAUUUAUAUCAGCUGGAAAUGGUGUUGCAAGUAUAAAUUGAUGAUUGCAUUUUUUAAAAAAAAUUGAAACAUUUAAAUUGAAAAUUUCAAUUGAAAUUGAAAUGAAACUCACUGGAGAAUGUUCCUUUUCAAAGGACACUCCCUUCAGAAAAGACAGAAUGGAAAUCAAAGAUACACAAAUUGCUUUUGUGAUUGUUAUUUAAUUUAGAAGGACACAAGGAUUCUUUGAAGAUGAAAAUGAUUCUCAUUAUGAUUUUAUUACCUAUUUUCAUCUUAAAUAAUUUUCUCUUAUUAGUUGAAAUCAGUAAGGUAAUAAAAGUCAGUCCCAUAAAUCCAGCGUGAGAGAAAGAUCAUAAGCACCUGUUUCUUGAAAAGAUUUAUGUAUAAACUUUGUCUUUCUUCCCCAAAAGCGUGAUGGUGGAUGUGUAAAGGUUCGUAGUUGUGCCUGACAUGUGUGGCACUGUAAAGCAGUAAGUAACAUCACUGUUACUUAUCAUGUUAACAUCAUCCUUACAGAUAAAAGGCAAACACACAGUUAGCCAGGCUUAACCUCUUCAAAAACUGUUACACUUCAUGUACAAAGAGAUCUAUGCUUUUAUUUGCUAUGAUAUUUAAAGGUUUGUUUAAACUUCUGCAUGGUAUCUAGCGAUCUCAUGGAAAUCAGAGCAGACAAACAGAGCACAGACACUCCGGAGGCAGAAGCCAGAGUGGCAUUACAAGCCGAAGUGACAAAUGUCAUAGUUGGUGCAGGACAAUUCUUCUCAUGGUAAAUCAGAAUAAUUUUUUCAUUGCUCACUGUAAUAAGUAAAUAAACAAACAAACAAAUAAAUAAGCAUUUAAUACCAACAAAGAUUAACAUUUCUUAUCUAACUACAAGUGAGCAUACAGAAGGACACCAGGACUGGGAUCAGAACCCACAUCAGGGUCCCCUAACUCCUUCAUAAUUUGCAGGCUGUUUUAAUCAACCCUGUUUAUAACUGUAGCUGCCUUUCUAGUAGAAGAGCUGAGAAUCUGCUGGUUUCCCUGGCAACUAUUAGUAAUGCAAGUAAGCUACAAUGCAGAAAAAAUAAUAUUGUACCCAAUCCUGUAGUCAAUAAUUGCACCAAUUCCCCUCCCAUAUCAAAGGUAAUUUCACAAUAUUUUUUUAUCUCCCAUUUUCAUUGUGGAAGGAAUAGCAGAUAACAACUCUACAGUAACAUCAUUUUCACAACUCUUCUGUUUUCCCAUAUCACUCUUUCUGGAGUUUAACAAAAUGAACCAUUUAAUCCGUGCAGAUUAGCUCUGUAGUGUUACUGGAGGGAUCAGAGAAGGAAGGUUAAACAAAAUGCAGGCAAUUCUCCCUGUCUCUCUUUUUCUAAGGAUGUCCUGCUCCUGUUCUGUAGCAUAUCAAACAUCAAAAGCGGUUUGCAUAACCCACGCUCCAGAAAAGGUGAUUCAGUCUAAUAACUACAGGACUGAAAAGAGAAAUGCAGGACUAAAGUAGUGUUUUCUCACUGUUUAUUCUUCCUAUUUUAACACCAGCUGAUUAUAUUUUCCUCAGAAAUGUCUGAUACCUUGCUUUUCUGCAGUACUGGUUACAGGCUGUCUUUGCUACUUACAUGUAUUCACCUUCUCAACAUGAAUGUCACAUCCAAAAGGGAGAUGACUGUUGAGUUAUAAAAUCUGCGUCAGUUUAUCUUGUUUGGCAGAUACAUGUUUGGCAUUUAUGUGGACCAGUAAUACUUGGUCACAAUGCAAAGCUUUCACCGGAACUCAGAAAUGAGCGAAGAGAGAAUGACUUUGAAAUAUACAAAUGAAAUGAAUGAAUGAUGUGGCUAUCCCAGCUGUGGAAAGCAAGGAAAAUCCCCCAUUUCUGCAAAAUAAAUAGUCAGAGAUCAGUUGAGGGGAACAGGAAAGAGUUAAAGAUAAAAAAGUAAACAAGGAUUAAGUCAGUCUGUAGCAGAAAAUGGAAUUUCAGCCCUUUGCUGACUAAUCUGGAGGUAGUGGUAUUUCCAAAAGACUACAUUUAGAGCAAGGAAAGGAGCAGGAUGUGAAAACUAAGUACACUUUCUAGUGGGAAACUAAGCUAUCAGUAAUGUACAGUUCACUAGGAUCUUAUGUGAAUUAUCUACAAUAAUUAUAUAUGUUUCAACUGUUAUCUGUAGAUUUAGACUUCAAUAUUCCUUGUAUCACUUCAAAACUAUGUUUAGAUUUUUGCAGAAUGCAUAAACCAUUCUCUGAUCAAGUUGUUAUUAGAGAAAAAAAAAAUGGCUCUCAGGCCAAAGCCAAAUGAAUACUCUAACUUAUUUAAAUCCCUGCAUCUUCACCCACAGGCUUUUCUGUCUGUGCAAGCUCAUGUCAUUAAUGUAAUUUUAUUUUUGGACUGAUUGGAUGAAGCCAGAUGCAGUCAGCAACAGGGUCGGCAACACAUCUGGUUUUUUCAGACGUGUCUAGUGGGUCAAAUACAUGGAGUUUGGAAUAUUUAUAGCAUUUUUAAUAAAAUGCACCAAGAAAUAAUUUGGUGAUAUAACUCAGAAAAUCUAGUUUUCAAAAGGUAAAUCCUGAGAAAGCAGAAUCAGAUCCUGGAAGAAACAGAUUGUACCAAACUGACUUUCUGCGUACAAAAACACAAUCAAAUUCUGCAAGCAUGUGUGACUUUCAGAAUGGAUAUUUGCUCUGUCUCUGCUUUUAGUGUCAUGUAUCUACAAUGCACUGCAGAAAUGCUUGAGUCAUUUACAAACAAGCAAGCUUUGAAACUCAGUCCAGGAUAAAUACAGUAACGAGGUGCAAAUUUGUACAGUCAGCACAAAAACACUGCUUCCCUGUGCUGGUGUCAAUGUAAGCCACUCUUCCGUGUCAUGUGAAAUUACUCAGACUCUCAACAAACUCUCAAUGUGGGGUUAAACCAUGCAAUGUGAGCCUAUGUUACAUGGAAAUUCUUACGGGAUGUUGCACUCUUUUCCUUAAACAGAAAAAAUUGCAUACUUCUUUGCACUGUUCAUUUUCAAAUUGUAAUGAUUAUUACAAUAAAAAAACAUAAAUUCUAAUUAGCCUCAUUACAUGACACAAACCAGAAUGAAUAUAUUCCACUAGAAACACUUAAAAUAACCAGGAAAUUCAUUCAGAAAAAAAAAUAUAAACAGAAAAUUCUCAAAGAAAUGGUAUUUAAUAGGGAAUAAACACAUGAAUAAAAACAGUGCUCCCAUUGAUCAAGUUUUUUCUGGAGAUUGUGCUGCAUUCAGUACACAGAUCUUAAAAUUUUCAGAUUAUGUACUAAAUUUGAUGUUUGAUCUUUUCCAAGAUGAAAUAAAAACAUAAAACAUAUCUAGAUGAUUUACCAGGCAGACUUGAAGCUAGACAUCUACAUUCUCGAGGGUCAAAAGUAGUUACACUUAACUAAAGUUUUGUCUUCGCUGCCAUUCAAAAUAAAAAAUUACUCACUCUCAAAUUGACUUGGAUUUAAUGUCUGAGGAUUUCUAGUUUGGAACACUGGCACGUAUUAUACACUUUCACCAUACAAGUACCAUAUCAAGUACUUAUGGGCAUCACAGUGCAAUCAAUUCUGCAGAACAUACAUCUUUAUAAUGUCAAGCAGGUCUCAUAUCUUCCAUCCUAUCCACACUUUCUUAAAAGAGAUAUGUUCUCCUGCCUCAUAAUAAAUUAAUACACACAGCUUCAAUGACAAAUGAGACAACCAGCAUGAAACUUUAUUAGAGUGAAAAGUAUUAAGAUUAAAUGAGAGAUAAUGGUGGUCACUAAAGUUGACUGAGCAGUGUUGCAGAGGUUUAACAACAGAAAUAGGAUAAUUUCCUACAAAGAGCAUAAAAUAAAAAUCCUCAUGUCAUUAUCAAUUCUGAAUCUAUUUAUAUUCUAACUGAUAAAUUUUUUAUUAGAGUAAUUCCUGUAAGUGUUACUGACUAAAAGAAAGUAUUCAAGGCAGUAAAUAAAGAUCUAUGUGGCUAGAUAUUCAUAAACAGCAACAGUCUUAGUGAAAAUCAUGGAAUCAUGGAUUCGCAAAAUUGUUCAAGCAGGAAGGGAACUCAGUUCAUCUGGUACAGCCUUUCAUGGUUAAGGUUGCCCAGGACAUGCUUGUAUAACACCUUGCCUAACCAAAUGUCUCAAGUGUCGAAAAUGAAGGUCUUCAACUAAAACACUUACUCUUGAUCAUCAGGGUUUGAUUGCCUUCUAUAAAUGACAAUUUCAGUAAUCGCAGAAUGACAGAAUGGCCUGGGUUGGAAGGCAUCUUUAAGAUCCACUAGUUCCCGCCCUGCCCCCCACUAUAGGCAGGGGCAUCUCCCACUAGACCAGGUUGCUCAAAGCCCCAUCCAGCCUGGCCUUGAACGCCUCCACGGUGGGGGCAUCCGCAACCUCUCUGGGCAUCCUGUUCUAGUGUCACAUCACCCUCAUCACCCCCCCUAAUAUUUAGUUGAAAUCUACCCUCUUCAAGUUUAAAGCCAUUUCCUCUUGUCCUGCUGCUACAUGCCCUUACAAAAAUUCCCUCCUCAG